rnacentral:rRNA from 1 species
CACAUGCAGUCGAACGAACCCUUCGGGGUUAGUGGCGCACGGGUGCGUAACACGUGGGAAUCUGCCUCUUGGUUCGGAAUAACAGUGAGAAAUUACUGCUAAUACCGGAUGAUGACUUCGGUCCAAAGAUUUAUCGCCAAGAGAUGAGCCCGCGCAGGAUUAGGUAGUUGGUGGGGUAAAGGCCUACCAAGCCGACGAUCCUUAGCUGGUCUGAGAGGAUGAUCAGCCACACUGGGACUGAGACACGGCCCAGACUCCUACGGGAGGCAGCAGUGGGGAAUAUUGGACAAUGGGCGAAAGCCUGAUCCAGCAAUGCCGCGUGAGUGAUGAAGGCCUUAGGGUUGUAAAGCUCUUUUACCAGGGAUGAUAAUGACAGUACCUGGAGAAUAAGCUCCGGCUAACUCCGUGCCAGCAGCCGCGGUAAUACGGAGGGAGCUAGCGUUGUUCGGAAUUACUGGGCGUAAAGCGCGCGUAGGCGGUUACUCAAGUCAGAGGUGAAAGCCCGGAGCUCAACUCCGGAACUGCCUUUGAAACUAGGUGACUAGAAUCUUGGAGAGGUCAGUGGAAUUCCGAGUGUAGAGGUGAAAUUCGUAGAUAUUCGGAAGAACACCAGUGGCGAAGGCGACUGACUGGACAAGUAUUGACGCUGAGGUGCGAAAGUGUGGGGGAGCAAACAGGAUUAUGAUACCCUGGUAGUCCACACCGUAAACGAUGAUAACUAGGCUGUUCCGGGUUCUUGGAAUUUGGGGUGGCGCAGCUAACGCAUUAAGUUAUCCGCCUGGGGGAGUACGGUCGCAAGA